UUAGAGUUUGAUCCUGGCUCAGGAUGAACGCUAACGGGAUGCCUAACACAUGCAAGUCGUGCGAUCGGCUAGACCUUCGGGUCUAGUACGGAGCGGCGAACGGGCGAGUAACGCGUGGGUAAUCUACCUUCAAGUGGGGGAUAACCCUGGGAAACUGGGGCUAAUACCCCAUAUUCUUAUAGGGCGUUGUGCUCUAUAAGGAAAGGAGCAACUCGCUCUGCUUGAAGAGGAGCCUGCGUCCUAUCAGCUAGUUGGUGAGGUAAUGGCUCACCAAGGCUACGACGGGUAGCCGGCCUGAGAGGGUGACCGGCCGCAAGGGGACUGAGACACGGCCCCUAUCCCUACGGGGGGCAGCAGUGGGGAAUCGUAGGCAAUGCCCGAAAGGGUGACCACGCAAUCCCGUGUGCAGGAUGAAGCCCUUCGGGGUGUAAACUGCUGUCAGGAGGGACGAUGAUGACUGUACCUCCAGAGGAAGGGACGGCUAACUACGUGCCAGCAGCCGCGGUAAUACGUAGGUCCCAAGCGUUAUCCGGAAUUACUGGGCGUAAAGGGUCCGUAGGCGGCUAGGUAAGUCAGUAGAUAAAGCCUGGCUCUCAAGGCCAGAAAAUCUACUGAUACUGCCUAGCUCGAGGACAGGAGAAAACAGGGGAAUUCCCGGUGUAGCGGUGAAAUGCGUAGAUAUCGGAGGAACACCAGUGAGGAAGCUGCCUGUUUGG
rnacentral:rRNA from 1 species